AGCGAACGCUGGCGGCAGGCCUAACACAUGCAAGUCGAACGAACCUUUCGGGGUUAGUGGCGGACGGGUGAGUAACACGUGGGAACGUGCCUUUAGGUUCGGAAUAACUCAGGGAAACUUGUGCUAAUACCGAAUGUGCCCUUCGGGGGAAGAUUUAUUGGCUUUAGAACGGCCCGCGUCUGAUUAGCUAGUUGGUUUAGGUAAUGGCUCACCAAGGCGACGAUCAGUAGCUGGUCUGAGAGGAUGAUCAGCCACAUUGGGACUGAGACACGGCCCAAACUCCUACGGGAGGCAGCAGUGGGGAAUCUUGAGCAAUGGGCGAAAGCCUGACGCAGCCAUGCCGCGUGAAUGAUGAAGGUCUUAGGAUUGUAAAAUUCUUUCACCGGGGACGAUAAUGACGGUACCCGGAGAAGAAGCCCCGGCUAACUUCGUG
rnacentral:rRNA from 1 species